rnacentral:tRNA from 1 species
UGCCGUCUUAGCUCAGUUGGUAGAGCAUCGCAUUCGUAAUGCGGAGGUCGGGUGUUCGAGUCACCUAGACGGCACCAU